CCACUGCACCAGGCCUAAUGUCCUGAUUUUAUAAAUCCCAAAACUGGGGCCCAGAGAGAAGAGAAAUCAUUAAGAUCACCAUACUGCUUGGUAUCUAAAGUAGUACUGACCCUUUUGACACCUAAUCCAAAGUUUUUUCAGCUACCUCAGGUUGCCCCUCAUCUUCCAGCUGACACCAUCCAGCACCUUUCAGAUACUGGCAAAGGAGCAGUGUUUCAAAAUUACUUUCCAAAUGGCCUCCUAAAAGGCAGUCCUCAGAGAGAAGCAAGGUUCUGCAUCUUAAGCCUUCCUUGGUUUCUUAGGUUCCAAAGCUGUUUCUAUCAGUCUCCAAGC
rnacentral:lncRNA from 10 species